AAUCAACGCUGGCGGCGUGCCUAACACAUGCAAGUCGAGCGAGAAAGGGGCUUCGGCCCUGAGUACAGCGGCGCACGGGUGAGUAACACGUGGAUAACCUGCCUCAAAGUGGGGGAUAACACCGGGAAACCGGUGCUAAUACCGCAUAUUCUGACGAGGUCUGCGGAUUUUGUCAGGAAAGGAGCAAUUCGCUAUGAGAGGGGUCCGCGGCUGAUUAGCUAGUUGGUGAGGUAAUGGCUCACCAAGGCAACGAUCAGUAGCCGGUCUGAGAGGACGGUCGGCCACACUGGAACUGAGACACGGUCCAGACUCCUACGGGUGGCAG
rnacentral:rRNA from 1 species